AGUUUUAAAUUUGGUAGAAACAUUGAAGCUAAGUUUUUUACUACAUUAAAGCUGCUCUGAAGAUACAGCAUGGAUUUUUUUAAAUGUAACUCUACUUCGGGAGGCUAGGAACUAGCAGUCUUCACAACUUUGGGCCAAGUGGCAGGAACUUAUUCCAGACAGCCUUCCCUCCGUAUUUCGGGUACACUUGAUAGUGGUGACUUUAGCCCCGUGCUCGACAAAGCAGUUUGCGUUUUUUUUUAAUGAUUUUUUGUGCAUGGUAAGUCGAGCGCAGAUUACGGGCACUUAGACUUGAUUCGGGCGAAAGUAGGCCCCAGCUCCGGGAGGAGUAACAUGUAUGUUCCUAUUCUAGGGGGGGGAGUACAGUCCGCGGUUAACCUCUGGUCACCCACCACAGUUCUAAACCAUGACCCUGGAGAAUUGAGUGUAUUAUCCAUUUUUUCCUGCAACGCAAUCAAGUACAUGUGAUUUUUUUAAAGCCCAAAGAAAGUGCGCCCUUAAAUAAAUCUAAUAUCAAUGGAUCACUAUGGCAUUAAGAACAAAGCUCUGAAAAUUCUACCUUAAGGAUCUUUCUGUAUAAUGAAACUAUU